CGGGAGAUGGUUUAGUGGCAGAAUCUACGGUUCGGGACCGUAGGGCGGCAGUUCGAUUCUGCCUCUCCCGA
rnacentral:tRNA from 1 species